UGGCCCAAGACAAUCCCAGUCUCUUCUAACCCUAAAGCGUAGAGAGUUCAUCUUUCGUCUCUUCCACUUCUUCUUCAAUCUGAUUGCUCUGUAACUCCAUUACCGCUUGGUCCUCUCCUCCUUAUUGUUUCGUUUUACCUCCCUCUCUUCUCCCCAUCUAUCAAUGGAUACCAUUUAUUUGUGGAGAAUUACUUCAACCCAACACUCGACGGUGGUGGAAGGAACCGUGUUGUAUUUUGCCCCGGAGGAACCGAUCCCCUCCGGCUUGCUUCUCCACUGGAUCAUCAACGACUACAACUCUUCUCCACAGAUGAUGAAUCUGGUGCUCAACCAUCGUUUCCAUGGACUCUUUUAAAUCCAAGUACAUAUCUUCUGAUUCCAAGAAGAAGAGCAUGAAGCCUUCUUCUUCUUUAUAAGCUUCUUCUUCAUCUCUCUUAGUAAGUUCUUCUGUAUAUAUUUUGAUUUUCAUCAACGUUCAAAGACAGAGUUUUUGUGAUGAUUUAUCUCUUCUAAUCAUAUUCUCUAUACACUUUAUCUUGGGUGGCUUUUCCAUGAACUCAUCGGUGGUGAAGGAGGAUGAGACGCUGUGUGGAGGUGGCUCAGGGUCAUUGGCAUUUUAAUGUUUGUUAACUGUGAUGGAAGCUCCAGAAGAUUUUUUUUAGGGGUUUGUCGAUACGAUGGGAGAGGCCAAGCCGGUAUUGUUAUGCUCAUGCAAGGACAACUCCUUGAACCUCAAUGACUUGCCAUCGACCUGGAACUUCAAAACUUGGUUUUAAGACGACAACUUCGACUAUUUGGGCAGUCGGUGUUGAUGCCACCAACAAGACUAAGAAUGGUGACGUUAGCAGACAAGUUCGAGUUCCUUUACAGCUGAUGACAAAAUGUUUAGGUUUGUGUUAUUCCUAAAAAGUAUGUUUGUCUUACGUAUUGGUCGAUCAGCUUCAAGAGAGGUGCUGCCACUUAAUGAGUUGUUUCAAAAGCAUUUGGGAGACAGGCGAGCCAUGCCAAUGAUAAUGAUAGUUGUAUGGAUCAUUUUGAGAAAUUACCGCAGCUCAAAUGUUAAGAUCUAGAAAAAGGUUAAGAACAGUGACAAAAAAAAAAGAGAGAAAGCAAGGCUGAGGAGAUUUUUCUGAAUCACUUGGAAAAAUAUACAGACUUGAGGCAAAAAAAAUGAUUCAGAUUUUACCACAAGAAAUAAAGCAAAGGAGUGAAGACAAAGAAGAAACAGGAAAACUACCCUUCAGAUCCUCCAUUCGGUGCUAAUUGAGUAGGUGACAUUGUUGUACCACCAUUUGAGACAAGUCAAAACUGUGCUUAUUAGGUUGAUAUAAAUGAAAUUAAGGCUGAGAAAAAAAAUUCUAUAUUUGCUGAUGAAAGCAGGAAAGCAGAGUGUUUUCACCAUGAAGGUGGAGAAAACGAGAGAUCCAAUGAGAAGGAUGAUGAUGAUGAAAGUUUGAAGCAAAUAAAUACUGCAAUAGAGGACCUAGCAUUGACUCUAGAAGCAUGUAUGAUGAAAGUGGAGAAGAUUUUAGCGAAGAUUAGAGAAUGAAAAACAAUAGAAAGAAACCAGGCCAAAAAUGGAGUCCCCGUUUAGAAUCUCAUGGUUCAACAAAAACAAUGUCAAACAUUAUCAACUGUUUGGUGUGAAUUUUUGUUAUUUUGUAUAAUCUUUAGAACUUUCUUAUUCGAAACAAUUUAUUACACGGUUUUGUUUGUUUUUAGUAUGUAUUUGAAAGAUCUCUCAGGUUGGAGGUGAGAAUCAUUACUUCUGUGUUUGUUUGAACAAAGCGUAGAAAACUUUACAGCUGGUUUGGUUUCAGUUUGGUA